AGAAUCAACGCUGGCGGCGUGCCUAACACAUGCAAGUCGAACGCGAAAGUCCCGCAAGGGAUGAGUAGAGUGGCAAACGGGUGAGUAACGCGUGGGUGACCUGCCUUCGAGUGGGGGAUAACGUUCCGAAAGGGACGCUAAUACCGCAUGACAUCCUGCCUUUGAAGAGGUGGAGAUCAAAGCUGGGGAUCGCAAGACCUGGCGCUUGGAGAGGGGCCCGCGUCCGAUUAGCUAGUUGGUGGGGUAACGGCCUACCAAGGCAUCGAUCGGUA
rnacentral:rRNA from 1 species